UGCAUUUUUGGCGCUUCCAAAUUCGAGUUCGCCUCACCCUAUUAUUGUUCACCACAAUUAAAAAUUAAAUGAUGUAUAAAAUAUGUCACACCCAUGCCACACCGUUUCAUAAUUUGAUUAGGCUUGUGACUAAUUCGUAUCACCACUUUAUACCCAUGUUCUUUCUGCUAGUCUCAGCUACACUUUUAUUACCUGAAAGGGGUGGUGAAAUAAAAGGGUGAGCACAAAUAGCCCAAUAAAGAAUAUCAUGACUUAAGAUAAUUAAAUUAUCAAAAUAAUUCAGAUAUUUAGAACAUAUGGUACAAGAUAAAAGUUUUCAACCAUAAUAGCAGCGGAAUCAACAAUCUAUUAGAGAUUCAAGUAGAACAUAAUGUCUACUAACUCCUCUAGAUUAAAAGUCCGUCAUUAAUAUUUCAUUCCUGUAAUACUCAUCAACAGUUCUUUGUUAUACCCAAGACAAAGAGAACUCUCAUCACCUGUCUUCACUUGAACCACCAAAAAUUAUAAUUAAAUUCACAAUUCAUAUUUAUAAUAAGGUAAAUCAAUAGUCCAUCUUUGCAAUACGAGCCUAAGACAUACAACUGUAAAACCAAUAGCGCUAAGACUCAACUUAAUAGUAUCACAACCACGAAUUAUCCAUGCACUACGGGCCAAAGAUAUUCGUGUUUUCACCAAUGAUCAUGAUUAUAUCGAAUAAUCCCUGAUCAUAAUCAUACCAAUCAACUGUCCAUCUUUGCACAACUGGCCAAAGAUGACUUUCAACACAAUAUAAGCAUGAGAAUGAUGACAAUGAUAUAUAUAAUGAAUAAACAUAAAUAAUCAGAAUAAUAAGAUAAAAUAGAUCUUAGUGGUUUUCAACUUAAUUAUCCAGAGUCCAAAUUGCUAACAUAAUAUUAGAUGAAGCACAAACUAUUAAGGAUAUUCUAAUUCUUUCAGGACUUUUCACCAUUUAAUGAUAAACUGAAUAAACGAAUAAUAAUAUCUUAUCAUAAUAUGGAGUAUGAAAGAAAAUGAUAUUCCUUUUACCAUAAAAAUGAUACCCCCUUGCCACAAUAAUGAUAUCCCUUACCUUAGCAUGUGACUUGAUUAUGCUUUCUGUGAAAUUGAUCAACUUAAACAAUGCUUGCAUUCCUUAUCUAUACUUGGAGUAACAUUACACUCAAUAGAAAUACUCACAAUAUUGUAGUAAAAGAAUUUUAUAUUUUUAGUGUAGUGAUGGUGUGUGUUUAGUUACUCAAUCGAGCAACCUAUUUAUACUGAAAAUUUAGUAAACAACUAGCACACCUGCUUUGACAAAAUAAUCAAAUGAGGUAUUUAAUAAUGGUAGUGGAAUUUAUGGUCCCACCAAAGAAAUUAAACUAGCUUGUACACGUUUUAAAAAUAAUUGAGUUGUGGUCCAGACUACUUUAGAAAAAAUAGAGUGUUGGCAAGUCCUGCCAAACUUACUUUUGUAAAAAAAAAAUAAUUGAACAAACAUCUGCAUAUCAUACUUAUAUUUAAUCAACACCAUUUUCAAUCUUUGAAUCAUUAUUCAUAAUUAUUAACAUACUCACAAUACUGCCAAUUGGUUUAAUUAUAUCAAAUAAUAUGAGUUACUGUGCAAUAACUACUGUGACAAUUAUUGAAUAAAAGACUAAGUGACUUCUUACGUAAGAAUCAAAUCAAUACCUUACUAAUUCUAUUAAAACUCGGGGUCAACACCAAAACAUAUUUACAUCAAAUAACAUAUAAACCAACUAAGAAUUCAUUAUUCAUUCAAGUUGUCUUUAUUUAUCGCAUAACAUCAUUAUUCAUCUUCCAAAACUUUAGAAGUGAAUAAUAAAACUUGAGAAAUCUAAAACCUCAUAUAUGACAAUCCACUAUUCUGAUAUUAUCACUAUUUUUACUUUAACAAAAAUAUUAUUUUUGUUUUUAUUAUAACUCAUUGGUUACUUGUGCAUUUACAUCCCGACACCUCAUGAGCUUACUAACACUUCUAAAAUAUUUAAAAUAGUAUUCUGAACUUUCUAAAUAAUUUUUACAUUUUUCGGAUUAUCCAACAAUUUUCUAUAAUUAUUUCUAUUUAUAAAAACUAUCAUUUAUUAGCUUCAAAAUAGAAAUACGAACUUCACAUACUUUUAUAUCUUUAAAACAUCAUCAAUAUUAAUAUUACAUUAUUAUAAUAUUUUUCAGCAAAAUUCAUAAUUUUUCACCAUUCAUAGAAUUUUCUAUGAAUUUCCUCUAUUUUUAAACUAACCAUAAAUAGCUUAAAAAUAUAAUAAAUAUUUCUGUUAUUCAAUAAUUUCUCAAAACUGUCCAGAAAUUAUAAAAUAAUAUUAUAAGAUUUUUCACAAACUUUCAUAAUUUUUCAUCAUUCAUAGAAUUUUCUAUGAAUUUCUUCUAUUUUAAACUAACUAUAAAUAGUUUAAAAAUAUAAUAAUUACUUCUGCUUUUCAAUAAUUCAUCAAAAUUUAUAGAAAUUCUAAGAUGAUAUAAUAAGGUUCCUGUAAAAAUAUUUCAGCCCAAAUAAUUUUUUUGAUAAAUUAAUUAUAAACUCCAAUAUUCAGAAAUUUCAAUAAUUCAUAAUAAUUAGCACUUUUAUCAGAAAAAUACAGAUCUUAUGUUCUUUCCAUGUAAAAUUUAAUUCUCUACAACUUUGUUGAAGAAAAUGUUUCCAAAUUCUGACUCUAACAUAGAGAGAAAGGCUUACCAAAAAUUCUGCUAUAAAAUUUCUGGAUCAGUCAUCUCCUUAAAUUCAUAACAAAUUAUAAAUCAAUCUUUAACGGUUCAAAAUUUGUGUACAUAUACUCAACUUAUAUAUGUAUAACAUAUCCAAAAAUCACAACAACCCAACGAUCGGAUUAAAAAGUAUAACUCACGCAAUAGAGGUUAUGAACACUGAUUUUUUGGACUAAAAAUCCUUCGGACCAGUUUCACUAAAACUGUCACCACAAAAAAUUCACAAAAUUUUUUUGGGUGAUUCAAAUUUUUGUGGUUAGCUUACUUCCAGGUCUUUCUUUUUAUAUAUGGCUCAUCUCCUAACUCAUUAUACACAAAUAGUUAUGGAUUUUACAAAAUCAUGUAGUAAACUAAUUUUCUGAAAAUCUCCAUAUUUUGUUCUUCUUUUGAUUUCUAGAUUUCUCUCAUUUGAUUCAUGUUUUUGCAAGUUUAAAUCAUUCAAUACAUACAUAAGUAUGUAAUCUUUACAUAAAAUCUAUAAAAACUUAAAUCUAAGAAUAAAUCAAAGAUUUUUAAACAUACCUUUGCUUUUAAUUUCUUCUUCAUUUAUUCCUUCUCUUUCUUCUUUUCUUCUCCUCUUUUUCUCUUUUUCUACUCUUCUUCUUUUGGUUUCCUCCACUGAGAGAAUGAGUG
rnacentral:lncRNA from 1 species